AGGGCAGACCAGGAAGUAUAAAAGGAAGGCUCUGCAGCAGAGUUGGGCUGGAGCCAGCAGAGAAGACAGACGCCUCUGCCUUGCUGCAGCACCCAGGAGCAGAACCUGUCCCCUGCUGCGCCCUGUCCCCAGAGGAGACAAACACAGAUGAGGAGUUGCCAGGACUACCAGCGGCCGUAUACCCCGAGGAGCCCGAGAACCUGUGGAGGCUAGAGGUACCAAACCCCGGGGAAGUAGGAAGUAGCCCAGGGCAGCCAACGACUGGCUGGCUACAGGGCUGACCGCAUCCCAGUCGGUGUGCUGUGGCUGGAACCCUGCCGACCCAGUGGCAGACCCGUCUGCCACUGUUAGGGCCCUGGGCUGGAACGCGGUGGAGUAGGGCGGGCCCCGUGUCCGCCUGCCAUCCCAACCCCGGAGUGGCAGACUCCCACCUUUGGCCAGGAGGCCUGUGCUCUGUGAACCUCCCUGAGUACCCUAGACUGCUUGCUGGAUGUGCAAACCCCUUUCAGCACCCCUAGAUUGUAUGGGCGCUCCCCCUUACCUGAACUCCAAGACUGUGUGUUUGUUGGCUGCCUGAGCAGCCUGCUCUGCCCCACCCAAAGGGCCAGAGCUCAUUGACUGUGUGUGUUUGCGGGCUGGCUGCCUGAGCCCACAAGCCUAAGCUAAAGCCUGCUCCCUGCUCUGCCCCGCCCAAAGAGCUACAGCUUAUUGACUUGGUGUAUUUGCUGGCUGCCUGAGCCGGGAGGCUGAGGCUACAGCCUGCUACCAGCCCAGCCAAAGGACAACUGUUAAGUGUUGUCAGCCCCUUUGAGGGGCUACGAGCUAGAGACUACGCCGGGCGCUGCCUGCCAUGGGGCAAGAGCCCCAGACUGUUGUUGUCUGUUUGCCUCUGUCAGACAGACCCAGAGCUCUAGACUGUUUACAGCUCACCCCCCAAUGCGACCCAAGCCUGAGGACUGAACCCGAACAGAAUGAGGCAGAGUGGCCUUUAUCCGGACUGGAGAACGAGGGAGCACUACAGGUAUCUCCAACUGGGCACUCCACAUUAAUGGACACUUCUGAAAACUUGGGUUCAACUUAUUUGUCCACAGUCGUUAUAGAACCAUACAGCUGGAAAGCAGACCUAGGACCACUGAUACCUGUUCCCAACUGUAAAUUCAAGGUCUUGUGUGUUGUAUUUGCAAAAAAGUUCCAACAAGAAUCUUGCAGGUCUAUGCAGCUGAUGUAUUGAGUGAACAAUGGAACAAGACUAAAAGAGGGAAGCUAGGACUGUGAGUUGGUGUGGAUGGAGAGACUGACUGGCUGAGCAAGAAGACUGGGACAAGGAACCAAGCGGAGGGGCCAGGAGAGAGACUGAAUGAGGAUUCUGGGGAGUACUGAGCUCCUGUGGUUUGCUGUACAGAUGCUGAGCACUCAACAACUGCAAAUGAAAUCAACAGGAGCUGUGCUCUGGACAUAUCAAGUGCUGUAUAAUUCUAAGGACUCUGAAAAAACAAACCGUACAUGUCUGAAAUUGGGCACCAAGAAUAAUGGGAUGCUUCUAUACUUAAUCUCUGUGUCUCGGUUUCCCAUCUAAAAACUAGGGAUAAUACAAUUCCCUCACCUCACAAGGGUCUUGUGAAAAUAAAUUUGUUAGGUUCAUGAAGUGCUCAGAUACCAUAAUGAUGGCCACCACAGAAAAGCCAAUGAGUAAAUUAAUAAUUCUGACUUCAGAGCUGGGUUUGAAAAGUGUGCAGUAAAUAAGGUCCAGUGCCACAUAUUGAACAAUGAAGAGGAAACAAAAUACUGAAUAGUUGCUAAUUUUUGAGUACCAUCCAUUAUGUGCACCACAUACUUUGUGGAAAAAUAAUAUGUGAUCAUGUAAUUAAAGAGACUGUUGUCAAUUCAUAUGCUCAAGCUACCUUAAUUGUGGCAUUUCAUAACUUUUGCGUGUUUGACUUUACAACUGUAAUAAUUGUCUGCUAACAUAGCUGUUUGGUUUUUUUGGUAAUAUAAAAUGUACGCAGACACACACAAACAUACUUUCCUUCAUGUUUUGACAGUGAGCUGUAUGAAAAUACGAUGGUAAGCUAUUUAUUAAAGGAAACUUACUAAGGACAUAUGAAAAUACAUAUGGGAAAAACCUCUUUUCACAGUAUAUAAAACUGAUAUAUACUGGAAAAUUAAUGAUUCAGCCAUAAAGAGCCUUCACAUUAAUAUUUUAAAGAGAAUGGUUCAUGUUUGUAUAGUUCCAUUCUUUUAAAGUUAAUUAUGUUUUAAAACCAGCUCACGCUAGACUCUUAUACCCGUAGCGUACAAAAGGUGUUACUUUUUCACCAGAAGAUUCAUCAGGAUUAGUCUUUGAAUGACUGCUUUAAUUGGACAUAUUUAAUUUUCAAAUGUGACUAUAUGAUGAGAAGUGACAACUGUCAUGAGAACUUUGAGGCUGCUGUUCUGAGCACAAUGGAUAAAAAAAAAAUUUAAACCAGUGAUAAUAAUAGGUUGUUUUCAAACAUCUUCGACACUUAGAAUAGAUUCUAUAUAAAACAAUGAAUGUACAUAUUAUUUGCCACAUAGCAUUUGGAAAUAAUAUACAGAAUGUAUUUUGUAUAUAUUACAUAAAAUAUAUGUUAAAAAAUGUUAUAAGAUGCAUAUUCAAGGAAUCAAAAUUUAGGAAAUGCUAGAAUUAAAUUUGUCCGUACAAUCUUAAUUCUUCUCUUUAUGCAUUCACAUUAUGAUGCAGUCUUCAAUUACAUGUUCACACUUUAUUUUUUUUUUCCAACAGGACUCUGUCAUUCCAUGCACUGAGUAAAGCAAUAUGACAGGUUUCAGAGUAGCAGCUGUGUUAGUUUGUAUUCGCAAAAAGAAAAGGAGGACUUGUGGCACCUUAGAGACUAACAAAUUUAUUUGAGCAUAAGCUUUUGUGAGCUACAGCUCACU